rnacentral:rRNA from 1 species
GUGAGGAAUAUUGGUCAAUGGGCGGGAGCCUGAACCAGCCAAAUCGCGUGAAGGAAGAAGGAUCUAUGGUUCGUAAACUUCUUUUGCAGGGGAAUAAAGUGCAGGACGUGUCCUGUUUUGUAUGUACCCUGAGAAUAAGGAUCGGCUAACUCCGUGCCAGCAGCCGCGGUAAUACGGAGGAUCCGAGCGUUAUCCGGAUUUAUUGGGGUUAAAGGGUGCGUAGGUGGUUUGAUAAGUCAGCGUUGAAAGUUUGCAGCUUAACUGUAAAAAUGCCGUUGAAACUGUCGGACUUGAGUGUAAAUGAGGUAGGCGGAAUGCGUGGUGUAGCGGUGAAAUGCAUAGAUAUCACGCAGAACUCCGAUUGCGAAGGCAGCUUACUAAGCUACAACUGACACUGAAGCACGAAAGCGUGGGGAUCAAACAGGAUUAGAUACCCUGGUAGUCC